rnacentral:rRNA from 1 species
UAGGGAAUAUUAGAAAUGGACGAAAGUCUGAUCUAGCAACACCGCGUGUGCGAAGAAGGCCUUAGGGUUGUAAAGCACUUUUUGGAAGGAUUAGGAAGGAAUGUACUUCCAGAAUAAGUCUCGGCUAACUACGUGCCAGCAGCCGCGGUAACACGUAAGAGGCAAGCGUUAUCCGGAUUGACUGGGCGUAAAGCGCGUGUAGGUGGUUCUGUAAGUAGGGCGUGAAAGCUCCUGGCUCAACUGGGAGAGGCCGUUCUAAACUGCAGAGCUAGAGGAUGGUAGAGGGAGGUGGAAUUCCGGGUGUAGCGGUGGAAUGCGUAGAUAUCCGGAGGAACACCAGUGGCGAAAGCGGCCUCCUGGACCAUUCCUGACACUCAGACGCGAAAGCUAGGGUAGCAAACG